GACGAACGCUGGCGGCGUGCCUAAUACAUGCAAGUAGAACGCUGAAGAGAGGAGCUUACUCUUCUUGGAUGAGUUGCGAACGGGUGAGUAACGCGUAGGUAACCUGCCUUGUAGCGGGGGAUAACUAUUGGAAACGAUAGCUAAUACCGCAUAACAAUGGAUGACACAUGUCAUUUAUUUGAAAGAGGCAAUUGCUCCACUACAAGAUGGACCUGCGUUGUAUUAGCUAGUAGGUGAGGUAAUGGCUCACCUAGGCGACGAUACAUAGCCGACCUGAGAGGGUGAUCGGCCACACUGGGACUGAGACACGGCCCAGACUCCUACGGGAGGCAGCAGUAGGGAAUCUUCGGCAAUGGGGGCAACCCUGACCGAGCAACGCCGCGUGAGUGAAGAAGGUUUUCGGAUCGUAAAGCUCUGUUGUAAGUCAAGAACGGGUGUGAGAGUGGAAAGUUCACACUGUGACGGUAGCUUACCAGAAAGGGACGGCUAACUACGU
rnacentral:rRNA from 1 species